rnacentral:rRNA from 1 species
AUUGAACGCUGGCGGCAGGCUUAACACAUGCAAGUCGAGCGGAGAUGAGGUGCUUGCACCUUAUCUUAGCGGCGGACGGGUGAGUAAUGCUUAGGAAUCUGCCUAUUAGUGGGGGACAACAUUCCGAAAGGAAUGCUAAUACCGCAUACGUCCUACGGGAGAAGGCAGGGGAUCUUCGGACCUUGCGCUAAUAGAUGAGCCUAAGUCGGAUUAGCUAGUUGGUGGGGUAAAGGCCUACCAAGGCGACGAUCUGUAGCGGGUCUGAGAGGAUGAUCCGCCACACUGGGACUGAGACACGGCCCAGACUCCUACGGGAGGCAGUAGUGGGGAAUAUUGGACAAUGGGGGGAACCCUGAUCCAGCCACGCCGCGUGUGUGAAGAAGGCAUUAUGGUUGUAAAGCACUUUAAGCGAGGAGGAGGCUACUGAGACUAAUACUCUUGGAUAGUGGACGUUACUCGCAGAAUAAGCACCGGCUAACUCUGUGCCAGCCGCCGCCGUAACAC